rnacentral:rRNA from 1 species
CUAGCCGUAAACGAUGGAUACUAGGCGUUGUGAGUAUCGACCCUCACAGUGUCGUAGCUAACGCGUUAAGUAUCCCGCCUGGGGAGUACGCGCGCAAGCGUGAAACUCAAAGGAAUUGACGGGGGCCCGCACAAGCGGUGGAAUAUGUGGUUUAAUUCGAUGCAACGCGAAGAACCUUACCAGGACUUGACAUGUCGCGAAUCUCAGGGAAACUUGAGAGUGCCUUCGGGAGCGCGAACACAGGUGGUGC